rnacentral:rRNA from 1 species
GUUAGGAAUAUUGGACAAUGGGCGAAAGCCUGAUCCAGCCAUGCCGCGUGAACGAUGAAGGCCUUCGGGUUGUAAAGUUCUUUAGCCGAUGAUUAUAAUGACUGUAGUUGGAAAAUAAGCCCCGGCUAACUUCGUGCCAGCAGCCGCGGUAAUACGAAGGGGGCGAGCGUUAUUCGGAAUCACUGGGCGUAAAGCGUGCGUAGGCGGUUUUGUAAGUUAGGAGUGAAAGCCCAGGGCUCAACCUUGGAAUUGCUCUUAAAACUGCAAGGCUCGAAUCUCGGAGAGGAUAGCGGAAUUUCCAGUGUAGCAGUGAAAUGCGUAGAUAUUGGAAGGAACACCAGUGGCGUAAGCGGCUAUCUGGACGAGUAUUGACGCUGAGGCACGAAAGCGUGGGGAUCAAACAGGAUUAGAAACCCUUGUAGUCC